GACGCCAAUUUCGUAGCUACAAAUGUUAAAAAAUACAAAACAAAGACGAAAAACAUUUACCUUGAAUACUUUGUCGUGGCCUAGGCAUGUUUUUAAAACAAUUAGACCAGUUUAUGCUUCAAUAUUACUCUUUUAAAGCGGAAAAUAUAGCGAAACAGCAAAAAUGCUGAGCACUUUGGCAAUACACGUGACGUCACAGAUUGCAACUAGGUUUAGACUGUGACGUCAGGAAGUUUUCUAUCCAGUUAUUUUACAAUCCAUGGAUAUAUAUUUAUUAAGUUUUAGGAUAGGGAUAUUAUUGAAAGUAAGAAAUUUUCAAGUAACAAAAAUACAUUGAUAAAGUUUGCAAGUAUAAGAAACUUUUAACUGGUCCUGUCAUUGAGUAGCGAUAGACAAGGACGAACUGACAGUUUUAUAGGUCUCGAUCAGGAAUAAAUCCCAGCCUCAUUACGAGUGUAUAGGCCAUCCUGGGAAUGGCGUGCGAUCGCAGGCGCAUGCCUUGCACACGUAUCAGCAGAUUAUGAAGAAGUACGACUUAUCGCACGCCUCGAUUAAGCUGCAAUGUAAAAUAAUUAUACUCACCUUACAUGCACUAUAUAAUUAUACAUUCCAAUAAAUAUAAUGAAACAUAAGUGACUUUCUAAAAGUCCAACACAAUGGUC